GAAAUGCGAUACGUAAUGUGAAUUGCAGAUUUCAGUGAAUCAUCGAAUCUUUGAACGCACAUUGCGCCCGCCAGUAUUCUGGCGGGCAUGCCUGUUCGAGCGUCAUUUCAACCCUCAAGCCCCCGGGCUUGGUGUUGGGGCUCGGCCCGUCCCUCGUGGCGCGCCGUCCCCGAAAUCCAGUGGCGGUCACGCUGUACUCCUCUGCGUAGUAAUCCAACCUCGCAACGGGACAAAGCCUGGCCACGCCGUUAAACCCCCCACUUCUGAAGGUUGACCUCGGAUCAGGUAGGAAUACCCGCUGAACUUAA
rnacentral:misc_RNA from 1 species